AUGAGAGUGUGCUCAGGCUGGCCUGAGACCUUUGCCACCCACGUCCCUGAGGUCCUUUGCAAGGGGUGUGCAUGUCUGUGUGUGUGUAUGUGCGUGUGUGUGUGUAUGUGCAUGUGUGUGUGCAUGUGCAUGUGUGUGUGCAUGUGCAUACGUGUGCAUGUGUGUGUGCAUGUGCAUACAUGUGCAUGUGUGUGCCUGUGCGUCUGUGUGUGCAUGUGCAUGCGUGUGCAUGUGUGUGUGCAUGUGCCUGUGUGUGCAUGUGCAUACGUGUGCAUGUGCAUGUGUGUGUGCCUGUGCAUCUGUGUGCAUGUGUCUGUGUGUGCAUGUGCAUACGUGUGCAUGUGCAUGUGCAUGUGUGUGUCUGUGCAUCUGUGUGCGUGUGUGUGCAUGUGCCUGUGUGUGCAUGUGCAUACGUGUGCAUGUGCAUGUGCGUGUGUGUGCCUGUGCGUCUGUGUGCAUGUGUGUGUGCAUGUGCCUGUGCGUGCGCAUGUGCAUGUGUGUGUGCAUGUGCAUAUGUGUGCAUGUGCAUGUGUGUGCCUGUGCAUGUUUGUGCAUGUGUGUGUGCAUGUGUGUGUGCAUGUGCAUGCGUGUGUGCAUGUGCAUGUGUGUGCAUGUGCAUGCGUGUGUGUGUGUGCAUGCGCGUGUGUGUGCAUGCGCGUGUGUGUGUGCAUGUGUGCAUGUGCAUGCGUGUGUGCAUGUAUGUGCAUGCGUGUGCACACGCACACGCGCUGUAUUGCAGCGCUCGCAGCCUUUCGUGGCUUCUGGCACGACCAACAGGAGAGGGCAGCAAAGAUUUACAUUUUGGACGCUGAACACCCUUCCCGCUCCAGAGGAAGACAAAAUCGUUCCGGUGCCGCGGCGCUGCGCUUGAUGCUGCCCUGUGGGCAGAGCCGGACACCGAUUCCCCCAAACCGGCCGCCGCCGGGUCUCCUUCCCCCCCUCCUUCCCCAGCCGCCGCUGCCCCUCACCCACCGAAGCGGCUGGUUAGCGCCGAGCGCAGCUUUUGGGUGA
rnacentral:lncRNA from 1 species